CGCUAGGACGAACGCUGGCGGCGUGCCUAAUACAUGCAAGUAGAACGCUGAAGAGAGGAGCUUGCUCUUCUUGGAUGAGUUGCGAACGGGUGAGUAACGCGUAGGUAACCUGCCUUGUAGCGGGGGAUAACUAUUGGAAACGAUAGCUAAUACCGCAUAACAAUGGAUGACACAUGUCAUUUAUUUGAAAGGGGCAAUUGCUCCACUACAAGAUGGACCUGCGUUGUAUUAGCUAGUAGGUGAGGUAAUGGCUCACCUAGGCGACGAUACAUAGCCGACCUGAGAGGGUGAUCGGCCACACUGGGACUGAGACACGGCCCAGACUCCUACGGGAGGCAGCAGUAGGGAAUCUUCGGCAAUGGGGGCAACCCUGACCGAGCAACGCCGCGUGAGUGAAGAAGGUUUUCGGAUCGUAAAGCUCUGUUGUAAGUCAAGAACGGGUGUGAGAGUGGAAAGUUCACACUGUGACGGUAGCUUACCAGAAAGGGACGGCUAACUACGUGCCAGCAGCCGCGGUAAUACGUAGGUCCCGAGCGUUGUCCGGAUUUAUUGGGCGUAAAGCGAGCGCAGGCGGUUUGAUAAGUCUGAAGUUAAAGGCUGUGGCUCAACCAUAGUUCGCUUUGGAAACUGUCAAACUUGAGUGCAGAAGGGGAGAGUGGAAUUCCAUGUGUAGCGGUGAAAUGCGUAGAUAUAUGGAGGAACACCGGUGGCGAAAGCGGCUCUCUGGUCUGUAACUGACGCUGAGGC
rnacentral:rRNA from 1 species